UGGGGAAUAUUGCACAAUGGGCGCAAGCCUGAUGCAGCCAUGCCGCGUGUGUGAAGAAGGCCUUCGGGUUGUAAAGCACUUUCAGCGGGGAGGAAGGCGGUGAGGUUAAUAACCUCAUCGAUUGACGUUACCCGCAGAAGAAGCACCGGCUAACUCCGUGCCAGCAGCCGCGGUAAUACGGAGGGUGCAAGCGUUAAUCGGAAUUACUGGGCGUAAAGCGCACGCAGGCGGUCUGUCAAGUCGGAUGUGAAAUCCCCGGGCUCAACCUGGGAACUGCAUUCGAAACUGGCAGGCUAGAGUCUUGUAGAGGGGGGUAGAAUUCCAGGUGUAGCGGUGAAAUGCGUAGAGAUCUGGAGGAAUACCGGUGGCGAAGGCGGCCCCCUGGACAAAGACUGACGCUGAGGCUCGAAAGCGUGGGGAGCAAACAGG
rnacentral:rRNA from 1 species